rnacentral:tRNA from 1 species
GCCACGGUGGUCUAGCGGAUAGAAUGCUGGCCUUGUAAUCCUGGGGUCUCGGGUUCGAUUCCCGGCGGUGCCC